rnacentral:tRNA from 2 species
UGGGGAAUUAGCUCAGCUGGGAGAGCGCCUGCUUUGCACGCAGGAGGUCAGCGGUUCGAUCCCGCUAUUCUCCACCAU